rnacentral:rRNA from 1 species
AUUGAACGCUGGCGGCAUGAUUUACACAUGCAAGUCGAACGGUAACAGGCCGCAAGGUGCUGACGAGUGGCAAACGGGUGAGUAAUGCAUCGGAACGUGCCCAGUCGUGGGGGAUAACUACUCGAAAGAGUAGCUAAUACCGCAUACGAUCUAUGGAUGAAAGCGGGGGACCGUAAGGCCUCGCGCGAUUGGAGCGGCCGAUGUCAGAUUAGGUAGUUGGUGGGGUAAAGGCUCACCAAGCCAACGAUCUGUAGCUGGUCUGAGAGGACGACCAGCCACACUGGGACUGAGACACGGCCCAGACUCCUACGGGAGGCAGCAGUGGGGAAUUUUGGACAAAGGGCGCAAGCCUGAUCCAGCAAUGCCGCGUGCAGGAAGAAGGCCUUCGGGUUGUAAACUGCUUUUGUACGGAACGAAACGGCUCUGGUUAAUACCCGGGGCUAAUGACGGUACCGUAAGAAUAAGCACCGGCUAACUACGUG